UAUGUGUCCACUUAGGUGCUGCUCAGUUAAUGCCAGUUUGCUGAGCCUCGGCUGCUUCAAAACAGCUUGCAGGAAUCAGAGACAGUUACAUCAGCGAGAGACCUUGGACAAUUUCGACUCCAUCUCUUUCAUUGUACAUGUGAGGAAUCUUACAAAGAAUUAAAGGAUUUGCCCAAAGCCACACAGUGGAGAACUGAUUGGUGUACUUAUGAGAAGGGGAAAUUCGGAGACGGGCAUGUACACAGGGAGAAU